rnacentral:rRNA from 1 species
GGUCAAGUUAUUAAGGGUGCAGGGCGGAUGCCUUGGCACUAGGAGCCGAUGAAGGACGUGAUAAGCUGCGAUAAGCUUCGGGGAGUUGCACGUAAACUUUGAUCCGAAGAUUUCCGAAUGAGGAAACUCACUUAGAGUAAUGUCUAAGUAUCAUUAAGUGAAUACAUAGCUUAAUGAGGGGAACUCAGGGAACUGAAACAUCUAAGUACCUGAAGGAAGAGAAAGAAAUUCGAUUCCGUAAGUAGCGGCGAGCGAACGCGGA